AACGAACGCUGGCGGCAUGCCUAACACAUGCAAGUCGAACGGGAUCCUAGCUUGCUAGGUGAGAGUGGCGGACGGGUGAGUAACACGUGGGAAUCUGCCUUUUGGUUCGGGAUAACCGCGGGAAACUGCGGCUAAUACCGAAUGCCCUCGAGAGAGGAAAGAUUUAUCGCCAGAAGAGGAGCCCGCGUCCGAUUAGGUAGUUGGUGGGGUAAAGGCCUACCAAGCCGACGAUCGGUAGCUGGUCUGAGAGGAUGAUCAGCCACACUGGGACUGAGAUACGGCCCAGACUCCUACGGGAGGCAGCAGUGGGGAAUAUUGGACAAUGGGGGCAACCCUGAUCCAGCAAUGCCGACGUGAGUGAUGAAGGCCUUAGGGUUGUAAAGCUCUUUGCCAGGGAAGAUGAUGACU
rnacentral:rRNA from 1 species